GACGAACGCUGGCGGCGUGCCUAAUACACGCAAGUUGAGCGAUGAAGAUUGGUGCUUGCACCAAUUUGAAGAGCAGCGAACGGGUGAGUAACGCGUGGGGAAUCUGCCUUUGAGCGGGGGACAACAUUUGGAAACGAAUGCUAAUACCGCAUAACAACUUUAAACAUAAGUUUUAAGUUUGAAAGAUGCAAUUGCAUCACUCAAAGAUGAUCCCGCGUUGUAUUAGCUAGUUGGUGAGGUAAAGGCUCACCAAGGCGAUGAUACAUAGCCGACCUGAGAGGGUGAUCGGCCACAUUGGGACUGAGACACGGCCCAAACUCCUACGGGAGGCAGCAGUAGGGAAUCUUCGGCAAUGGACGAAAGUCUGACCGAGCAACGCCGCGUGAGUGAAGAAGGUUUUCGGAUCGUAAAACUCGGUUGGUAGAGAAGAACGUUGGUGAGAGUGGAAAGCUCAUCAAGUGACGGUAACUACCCAGAAAGGGACGGCUAACUACGUG
rnacentral:rRNA from 1 species